GUCGAGCGGAUGAAGGGUGCUUGCACCCUGAUUCAGCGGCGGACGGGUGAGUAAUGCCUAGGAAUCUGCCUGGUAGUGGGGGACAACGUUUCGAAAGGAACGCUAAUACCGCAUACGUCCUACGGGAGAAAGCAGGGGACCUUCGGGCCUUGCGCUAUCAGAUGAGCCUAGGUCGGAUUAGCUAGUUGGUGGGGUAAAGGCUCACCAAGGCGACGAUCCGUAACUGGUCUGAGAGGAUGAUCAGUCACACUGGAACUGAGACACGGUCCAGACUCCUACGGGAGGCAGCAGUGGGGAAUAUUGGACAAUGGGCGAAAGCCUGAUCCAGCCAUGCCGCGUGUGUGAAGAAGGUCUUCGGAUUGUAAAGCACUUUAAGUUGGGAGGAAGGGCAUUAACCUAAUACGUUAGUGUUUUGACGUUACCGACAGAAUAAGCACCGGCUAACUUCGUGCCAGCAGCCGCGGUAAUACGAAGGGUGCAAGCGUUAAUCGGAAUUACUGGGCGUAAAGCGCGCGUAGGUGGUUCAGCAAGUUGGAUGUGAAAGCCCCGGGCUCAACCUGGGAACUGCAUCCAAAACUACUGAGCUAGAGUAUGGUAGAGGGUGGUGGAAUUUCCUGUGUAGCGGUGAAAUGCGUAGAUAUAGGAAGGAACACCAGUGGCGAAGGCGACCACCUGGACUGAUACUGACACUGAGGUGCGAAAGCGUGGGGAGCAAACAGGAUUAGAUACCCUGGUAGUCCACGCCGUAAGCGAUGUCAACUAGUUGUUGGGUUCCUUGAGAACUUANUAACGAAGCUAACGCGAUAAGUUGACCGCCUGGGGAGUACGGCCGCAAGGUUAAAACUCAAAUGAAUUGACGGGGGCCCGCAC
rnacentral:rRNA from 1 species